GCUAGCGUAACUUAAUUAA
rnacentral:tRNA from 1 species